rnacentral:tRNA from 1 species
CAUCACAUUAGUAUACCAAGUACGUCCGCCUUCCAAGCAGAAAGAUUAGU